GGGGGAGGGUGGGGGUGGGCCUAACGCAUGGGGGUCGGGCGGCAGCACAGUAAGAGCUUGCUCUUACGGGUGGCGAGUGGCGGACGGGUGAGGAAUACAUCGGAAUCUACUUUUUCGUGGGGGAUAACGUAGGGAAACUUACGCUAAUACCGCAUACGACCUACGGGUGAAAGCAGGGGAGCUUCGGACCUUGCGGGAUUGAAUGAGCCGAUGUCGGAUUAGCUAGUUGGCGGGGUAAAGGCCCACCAAGGCGACGAUCCGUAGCUGGUCUGAGAGGAUGAUCAGCCACACUGGAACUGAGACACGGUCCAGACUCCUACGGGAGGCAGCAGUGGGGAAUAUUGGACAAUGGGCGCAAGCCUGAUCCAGCCAUACCGCGUGGGUGAAGAAGGCCUUCGGGUUGUAAAGCCCUUUUGUUGGGAAAGAAAAGCAGCAGGUUAAUACCCCGCUGUUCUGACGGUACCCAAAGAAUAAGCACCGGCUAACUUCGUG
rnacentral:rRNA from 1 species